rnacentral:sRNA from 1 species
GUUCGUGGCGGAGUUGCGAAAGCGUCGGUUGUGCGAUACCAAAACAUAACGGCGGAUGGAUCCUAAGUAAAUGAAAUAACGAGAGACAAUAAAAGAAAAGUUCAAUAAAAAGUGAGUGCGGCAGGAGAUGAUGAAGUGAAAAGAAGGAAAUCGCUGAUAACUGAAACAGACACACACAUACAAAAAAAGGAAAAACGAAAAAGGAAAAAGAAGCUGUGGGAAAAGGCCACACUUUGAGGAAAACACUAAGAAAAUUCCGAGUCAUGAUUUGAGUUUCGGUUAAAGGAGUUGCAAAUGCAAAAACAACAAUGAAAUGCUGGCUCAAUGCAGGGAGGCGCAAGAAGAGGCAGCAGCAGCAAGAGGGGGCACUGGAUGGUGCCGACAGUCGAUGGCGAAGAGGAGGAGCACGACGAGGACAACGAGGACGACGAGGAGUGGCACAGCAGCUAGAUGGAAUCUGUCAGAGACAGCAACAAGUGGCCAGCGACACUUUGGUGGCAACAACAAGAGCCGGUCCGGCUCUGGUGAUGCUGUGGCUUUUGCUUGCGGCCUCUGCACAACACGGAGAGGCAGCGGCAGCGGCAGCGGCAGCCACACCAACAACAGCCAACGGGCCCGGGGCCACGGCAACAACACUAAA